rnacentral:lncRNA from 1 species
GAGGGGAAGAUAAUUCAUAUGGAGCAUCACACCAGCUAUCUCCUGCUCCCUGUCCUGCACUGCAAAGGAGGCCUUUUCAUCCUCUCUACUGCCUCCAAUUUUUCUCACGAGGAAUGUGAGAGGAAAACCUAGAGCUUGUUCCUGAAGCAUGGUGCUAAGUCCAUAUGCAGCAGAUGGAGCUCAUGAGAAAAGAGUUGCUCUUGUGAAGACCAAAGCUUGGUGAGGUGUCAGAUCCCCGGCGAUGGAAAGCAGUCAACUCAUGGGUAGUAAAAAGAAUGUAUUGACAACACUAUAGGUUUGAAAAGGAAAGUUUUAUUAGAUGGAAAGAACAGUGCAGAAGACCGCAGCAGAGGACCUCAGCAAGAGAGAACUAAUUUGUCAGUUUCAAAUACUCAUGUAUCUGAUUGUCAAUGCUGGAGAGCUGGGGCCAGGGCAGUAGUUGAUGAAUAUCACCUGACUGUCUCCUGCAGAAAAAGCAUUCCCAGAAGCACGGAGAAGUGAGGAGAAAAGGCAAUGCACCUGGAGCUGGAGACCAAGGCCCUGUUCUUACUGAUGGCCCUUGGAGCAGAUAUUUGAAUUGGAGAGAUAAAACCGUGGUUUUUGGGGUGUUAAUUUUGGUGGCUGAUGCAUUCUGUGAUUGAUUUGGCUAUUACAACUGGUAUUGAUUUUAAACACAUUAAUUGCAAAAUCUCAAUUGUGAUUUGAUUUCUGUAUUUACAAUACUAAAAACGAGGCUUUCGCCAGGAGAAGACAAUUGGCAGUACUCAGUUGGAAGUGCUUAAUUGUUAAUAUAUAUCAGCCGUGGUUCUUCAGCGUCGUCAGUGUUGCUCAGUCUUGCUCUUUGUGGCGACUACUGAAUGCUUGAAAAAUUCUCUCCUAUACUCCCACUCUGCACUGUAGAAGAGAAAGAGAGGAGAGUGGAAGAAAAAAGAGAGGGAGAGGAGAAAGAAAGAGAGGAGAGAGAAACAUGGGCAUGGAUGAUACAUAAGGUAGUUGUAAACUGUGAUCAGCUUUGAUAAUAACUAGAUAAAUUCUUUUAAUACAAAAAUAUAUAAGGCAUUUUGCCUUUUUUUCAAAUUUCAAAUAAAUGGAUUUGUAUAGAAUGUAGUCUGUUGCCCAGAGUUUUCAUUUAGCAUAAUGCAUUUGAGAUUUAUCCAUGUUGUUGUAUAUUCUUUUUAUUGCUGAGUAGUAUUCCAUUGUGUGGAUAUACCAGUUUGUUUAUCCAUUAACCUUUGAUGGAUAUUUGGGUUUUUUUCAAUAUGAGGCUCUUAUAAAUAAACCUUCUGUAAUCAGGUCUUUGUGUAGUCACACAGUUUGUUUGUUUGUUUGUUUUUUAAAAAGAUGUUAGUAUUGUAAUUGUGUUUAAUAAGAAACUGUUCAGUAUUUCUGCAUGUCUACCAAAAAUACAUGAAAUGUUAGUUGCUUCUUUUAAAA